rnacentral:rRNA from 1 species
AAUGAACGUUGGCGGCGUGGAUUAGGCAUGGAAGUCGAGCGAGAACCCAGCAAUGGGGGACAGCGGCGCAAGGGACAGUAAUGUGUAGAUUAUCUGCCCUCGGGUCCGGGAUAGCUGCGGGAAACUGCAGGUAAUACCGGAUAACAUCUCCGGAUCAAAGGUGUGAUUCCGCCCGAGGAUGAGUCUGCAUCCUAUUAGCUAGUUGGCAGGGUAAUGGCCUACCAAGGCGAUGAUGGGUAGCGGGUGUGAGAGGACGACCCGCGUCAUUGGGACUGAGACACUGCCCAGACGCCUACGGGUGGCUGCAGUCGAGAAUCUUCGGCAAUGGGCGCAAGCCUGACCGAGCGACGCCGCGUGUGGGAUGAAGGCCUUCGGGUUGUAAACCACUGUCAGAGGGGAUGAAAUGCAGGUGGGUUCUCCCAUCUGUUUGACAUAGCCUCAGAGGAAGGACGGGCUAAGUUCGUGCCAGCCGCCGCCGUAAAAC